GACGAACGCUGGCGGCGUGCCUAAUACAUGCAAGUCGAACGAGCGGCGGACGGGUGAGUAAUGUAUGGGGACUGCCCGAUAGAGGGGGAUAACUACUGGACACGGUGGCUAAUACCGCAUACUAUCGGAUAACCCAUAUGGGAUUAGCUAGUCGGUGGGGUAAAGGCUCACCUAGGCGACGAUCUCUAGCUGGUCUGAGAGGAUGAUCAGCCACAUUGGGACUGAGACACGGCCCCGACUCCUACGGAGGCAGCAGUGGGGAAUAUUGCACAAUGGGCGAAAGCCUGAUGCAGCCAUGCCGCGUGUAUGAAGAAUGCCUGAGGGUUGUAAAGUACUUUCAGUGGGGAGGCGUUACCCGCAGAAGAAGCACCGGCUAACUCCGUGCCAGCAGCCGCGGUAAUAC
rnacentral:rRNA from 1 species